rnacentral:rRNA from 1 species
GGUUAAGCGACUAAGCGUACACGGUGGAUGCCUAGGCAGUCAGAGGCGAUGAAGGGCGUGCUAAUCUGCGAUAAGCGUCGGCAAGGUGAUAUGAACCGUUAUACCCGACGAUACCCGAAUGGGGAAACCCAGUGUGUUUCGACACACUAUCACACACUGAAUUCAUAGGUGUGUGAGGCGAACCGGGGAACUGAAACAUCUCAGUACCCCGAGGAAAAGAAAUCAACCGAGUCCCCCAGUAGCGGCGAGCGAACGGGGAAGAGCCCAGAACCUGAAUCGGCUUGUGUGUCAGUGGAAGCGUCUGGAAAGGCGCACGAUACAGGGUGACAGUCCCGUACACGAAGAUGCACAGGUCGUGAGUUCGAUGAGUAGGGCGGGACACGUGGUAUCCUGUCUGAAUAUGGGGGGGGACCAUCCUCCAAGGCUAAAUACUCCUGACUGACCGAUAGUGAACCAGUACCGUGAGGGAAAGGCGAAAAGAACCCCGGCGAGGGGAGUGAAAUAGAACCUGAAACCGUGUACGUACAAGCAGUGGGAGCCUUGAUUUAUCAGGGUGACUGCGUACCUUUUGUAUAAUGGGUCAGCGACUUAUAUUCUGUAGCAAGGUUAACCGAAUAGGGGAGCCGCAGGGAAACCGAGUCUUAACUGGGCGUUAAGUUGCAGGGUAUAGACCCGAAACCCGGUGAUCUAGCCAUGGGCAGGUUGAAGGUUGGGUAACACUAACUGGAGGACCGAACCGACUAAUGUUGAAAAAUUAGCGGAUGACUUGUGGCUGGGGGUGAAAGGCCAAUCAAACCGGGAGAUAGCUGGUUCUCCCCGAAAGCUAUUUAGGUAGCGCCUCGUGAAUUCAUCUUCGGGGGUAGAGCACUGUUUCGGCUAGGGGGCCAUCCCGGCUUACCAACCCGAUGCAAACUGCGAAUACCGAAGAAUGUUAUCACGGGAGACACACGGCGGGUGCUAACGUCCGUCGUGAAGAGGGAAACAACCCAGACCGCCAGCUAAGGUCCCAAAGUCAUGGUUAAGUGGGAAACGAUGUGGGAAGGCCCAGACAGCCAGGAUGUUGGCUUAGAAGCAGCCAUCAUUUAAAGAAAGCGUAAUAGCUCACUGGUCGAGUCGGCCUGCGCGGAAGAUGUAACGGGGCUAAAACCAUGCACCGAAGCUGCGGCAGCGACACUAUGUGUUGUUGGGUAGGGGAGCGUUCUGUAAGCCUGUGAAGGUGGCCUGUAAGGGCUGCUGGAGGUAUCAGAAGUGCGAAUGCUGACAUAAGUAACGAUAAUGCGGGUGAAAAACCCGCACGCCGGAAGACCAAGGGUUCCUGUUCCAACGUUAAUCGGGGCAGGGUGAGUCGACCCCUAAGGCGAGGCUGAAAAGCGUAGUCGAUGGGAAACAGGUUAAUAUUCCUGUACUUGGUGUUACUGCGAAGGGGGGACGGAGAAGGCUAUGUCAUCCGGGCGACGGUUGUCCCGGUUUAAGCGUGCAGGUGGGUGGACCAGGCAAAUCCGGUCUGCUGUUAACACUGAGGCGUAAUGACGAGGUACUACGGUACUGAAGUGACAGAUGCCCUGCUUCCAGGAAAAGCCUCUAAGCAUCAGGUAACAUUGAAUCGUACCCCAAACCGACACAGGUGGUCAGGUAGAGAAUACUCAGGCGCUUGAGAGAACUCGGGUGAAGGAACUAGGCAAAAUGGUGCCGUAACUUCGGGAGAAGGCACGCUCCUGUUGGUGAAGUCCCUUGCGGACGGAGCUGACGGGAGUCGCAGAUACCAGCUGGCUGCAACUGUUUAAUAAAAACACAGCACUGUGCAAACACGAAAGUGGACGUAUACGGUGUGACGCCUGCCCGGUGCCGGAAGGUUAAUUGAUGGGGUCAGCCGCAAGGCGAAGCUCUUGAUCGAAGCCCCGGUAAACGGCGGCCGUAACUAUAACGGUCCUAAGGUAGCGAAAUUCCUUGUCGGGUAAGUUCCGACCUGCACGAAUGGCGUAAUGAUGGCCAGGCUGUCUCCACCCGAGACUCAGUGAAAUUGAACUCGCUGUGAAGAUGCAGUGUACCCGCGGCAAGACGGAAAGACCCCGUGAACCUUUACUAUAGCUUGACACUGAACCUUGAGCCUUGAUGUGUAGGAUAGGUGGGAGGCUUUGAAGUGUGGACGCCAGUCUGCAUGGAGCCAACCUUGAAAUACCACCCUUUAAUGUUUGAUGUUCUAACGUGGGCCCCUAAUCGGGGUUGCGGACAGUGUCUGGUGGGUAGUUUGACUGGGGCGGUCUCCUCCCAAAGAGUAACGGAGGAGCACGAAGGUUAGCUAAUCCUGGUCGGACAUCAGGAGGUUAGUGCAAAGGCAUAAGCUAGCUUGACUGCGAGAGUGACGGCUCGAGCAGGUGCGAAAGCAGGUCUUAGUGAUCCGGUGGUUCUGAAUGGAAGGGGCCAUCGCUCAACGGAUAAAGGUACUCCGGGGAUAACAGGCUGAUACCGCCCAAGAGUUCAUAUCGACGGCGGUGUUUGGCACCUCGAUGUCGGCUCAUCACAUCCUGGGGCUGAAGUAGGUCCCAAGGGUAUGGCUGUUCGCCAUUUAAAGUGGUACGCGAGCUGGGUUUAGAACGUCGUGAGACAGUUCGGUCCCUAUCUGCCGUGGGCGUUGGAAGAUUGAGGGGGGUUGCUCCUAGUACGAGAGGACCGGAGUGAACGCACCACUGGUGUUCGGGUUGUCAUGCCAAUGGCAUUGCCCGGUAGCUACGUGCGGAAGAGAUAACCGCUGAAAGCAUCUAAGCGGGAAACUUGCCCCGAGAUGAGUCUUCCCUGGGCCCUUGAGGCCCCUGAAGGGACGUUUAAGACGAAGACGUUGAUAGGCUGGGUGUGUAAGCGCAGCGAUGCGUUGAGCUAACCAGUACUAAUGACCCGAGAGGCUUAACCUU